UGGGUCUAUUGGGGAACCUC
rnacentral:siRNA from 1 species